UCUCAGUUAAGGACCUGGUCAGUGAGGGC
rnacentral:piRNA from 1 species